rnacentral:piRNA from 1 species
UUACCAUAGCAGGGAGAAUCCUACAAGUU